UGGUCAGCGCUCUGUGCUUAAACAAAGAGCGGUUCCCUCAUUCCUGGCAGCAGGCUCCUCCGUCCAGCCAUGUACACCGCAGGGGACGACUGCCUCAAAGGGUGCGGUUCCCUCAUCCCUGGCAGCAGGCUCCUUCUUCCAGCCAGGUACACCGCAGGGGACGAGUGG